CCCUUAGAUGUCCUGGGCUGCACGCGCGCUACACUGGAAGUUACGGAUUGAGAUACUACCUUGUCCGAAAUGGUCCGGGUAAUCACCUAAAAGCUUGUCAUAAUUGGAAUGGAUUAUUGUAACUAGUAAUCCUGAACGAGGAAUUCCUAGUAAGUCCCAGUCAACAGCUGGUACCGAUUACGUCCCUGCCCUUUGUACACACCGCCCGUCGCUACUACUGAUUGGACGUUUAAGCAAGAUUUUUAAACACUGACAGUGUGUAGUUCACGCUAUACUACAGUGAGAAGAAGAAGAUCGAGCUUACUUGUCUAGAGGAAGUAAAAGUCGUAACA
rnacentral:rRNA from 1 species